GCUAGGAGUGGUGGCGCACACCUGUAAUCCCAGCUACUCAGGAGGCUGAGGUAGGAGAAUCGCUCGAACCCAGGAGGUUGAGGUUGCAGUGAGCUGAGAUCAUGCCACUGCACUCCAGCCUGGGAGACAGAACGAGACUCUGUCUCAA
rnacentral:sRNA from 1 species